rnacentral:rRNA from 1 species
CAGAGACUGCAAGCGUUAUUCGGAUUCACUGGGCGUAAAGGGUGCGCAGGCGGUCGUGUGUGUCAGAUGUGAAAUCCCGGAGCUUAACUCCGGAACUGCGUCUGAGACUACAUGACUAGAGCAUUGGAGAGGGAAGUGGAAUUCAUGGUGUAGCAGUGAAAUGCGUAGAUAUCAUGAGGAACACCAGAGGCGAAGGCGACUUCCUGGACAAUUGCUGACGCUCAGGCACGAAAGCAUGGGGAGCAAAAGGGAUUAGAUACCCCUGUAGUCCAUGCCCUAAACGGUGCACACUAGGUCUUGGAGGAUUCGACCCCUUCAGGGCCCAAGCUAACGCGUUAAGUGUGCCGCCUGAGGACUACGGUCGCAAGACUA